GACGAACGUUGGCGGCGUGCUUAAUACAUGCAAGUCAACUGAAGCAGUGGUAGCAAUCUCGCUGUGGAGGUGGCGCACGGGUGAGUAACACGUAGGUAAUCUGCCUUCAGGUCUGGCAUAACUCCGGGAAACCGGGGCUAAUAGCAGAUGAUGCAGCGGCUCGACAUCGAGACAGUUGUUAAAGCUAUGGCGCCUGAAGAUGAGCCUGCGUCUGAUUAGCUAGUUGGCGGGGUAACGGCCCACCAAGGCAACGAUCAGUAGCUGGUCUGAGAGGAUGAUCAGCCACACUGGAACUGAGACACGGUCCAGACUCCUACGGGAGGCAGCAGUAAGGAAUAUUGCUCAAUGGGAGAAAUCCUGAGGCAGCAACGCCGCGUGAGGGACGAAGGGCUUGUGCUUGCAAACCUCUGUAGUGAGAGAAAAAAAUCCCAAUCUUUGGGACAUGAUGGUAUCUCAAAAGUAAGCCCCGGCUAACUACGU
rnacentral:rRNA from 1 species